CCAAAGCCGGCCCCUGGCGGGUGAGAUCCGAGCGGGGCCGGGAGCCGGAGCCGAGCCGAGCCGAGCCGGAGCCGCGAGAGGCCGGCCAGGCGCGGGCACGGGCGACCCAGCUUCCUCUAGCCUUGACAGCUAGUCCAAGUGGAUUUGAUUAAGCUGAGAGAGUUUCAGGAGCACCCACUCUUCUUGCCAUCCUGUCUUCUCAGGUGAACCCUGAACUUGCAUCUUCAGCAUUAAAAGCACUGCUCACUUCGAUCCAGAUUACUGUGAUCCCUUUUCUUGUAUGAGUUUCAG